rnacentral:tRNA from 1 species
GGCCUCUUCGUCUAACGGUUAGGACACCAGGUUCUCAUCCUGGCAAUAGGAGUUCGAUUCUCCUAGAGGUCACCA